UUGCUAGGGCCGCUCCCUUAGGCCCAGUGGCUGCAGACCUGCCGGGGCGCAGAGAUGGAGAUGCCCAGAUGGCAGGGAGAGAUCCUAAACCCUCAGCCUUGCCCUGGCCCACCGCGGAAUGGCCCGGAGAGAUGGGGGGUUGGGGAAGAACAACAGGAUGGGGAAGGGAGGGCCAAUCAGGCUCAUCUGAAUGUAGGUCAGCCACACCCCACAUAUUGAAUACCAAGAAUCCAUCCCCUGAGAAAGGGCACCCAGGCCGGCCCUACCCCCAGCCUCGCGUCUGGUCCAAGGAGGUCCCAGGGCAGGAAUUAGAAGAGCAUGUCACUAUAUUUCCAGUUGGGGAGGGGUGCUGAGUCUGAGUGAGGAGGUGGUUUCAGUGCCAGGAGGAAUAGAAACUGGCCUGCGGACUGAAUGGGCCUUGAACCCCUGUGACCACUCCCUUCAAGAAUGUGCCCCAACCUUACGGACAAGUGACUCAAAGGAGCCUGAGGGGGAUGGGAGCAAGGAUUUGGCGCCCUUCCUGUAAAACCUGGCUGACACACAAACCUAGCUGGGGUGAGGCUCCAGGUG
rnacentral:lncRNA from 1 species